CCCGAGGAGCGGUGGCAUCCGUUGCAUGAUGCAAAAAAGGAUUGAUUUCAAAAGUUGCGAGUUGCAUUGGCAGCCGCCCUUGGCGCCCGGGCCACCUUUUUCCCGGGCCCCGCUGCAAGGGCCGGGAACGUUUCCGCCACCUGGCCGGGCUCGACCGCGCGGCGCUCUGCGGGGCGCUGUCCCCGCUCCCCGAGUGCGCAGCGGAGCGUCCUGGAAGACAAUGACCAUGGGAACAAUUUGCACAGGAGGCUAGGAGCCCAGGAAAAGCCGCCUGGGCGCCAGGCAGAGGUUUUUUGAAAACACAAACGGCGCGUUAGAUGCUUGGGGACUCCCAGCAUCUGUCCUUCCUAUUGUUUAGCUCGGCUCCGGAGUUCACGGGAGCCUCGUGAAAUGUGGAGACGUCCUGCAAAGUUUCUUGAACACUUCAUGUGCGUGGUAGGAAGUCGAGGAAAAAGGUUUACGGUUCCCCGCUGGUUGCAUUGUUUGUCC
rnacentral:lncRNA from 1 species